CAGACAUGCUUGCCGUCUCAGUUGAUGGAAACCGCAAGCUUUAUCGCUUUCAGUCUAAUGCAAGCACUUCAGAGCAGGGGAACUUUGAAGGUGUCUUCAUUGAAAAAGAUGAGGAAGAUUCUGAGUUUGUGAAAUACAUCCAGAGACACACAAAUCAUGUCCCAGGGAAAGGGUUGUGCGGAUCUUCAUCUUGGACUGCAGCAAAGGAGUCGUCCAAAAAGUCCACUGGGAAGUUGGAUGAAGAGGGCGUGGAAAUAGCUGUUUGUCACCACGGAGUCCUCUUAGCUGCAUUGAACAUGUUUCGAGGGGAGAUCUUUGCUUACCCUCUUUUU